rnacentral:lncRNA from 1 species
UAAUUAUGCUUCGAGCAUUCAGUAAACAUAAGAUUCAAGGACCUUUCAAAUUCUUCUGAAAAUUUAUUUAAGAUCUUUUAUGUCAUGGGUGUUGAUAACAUCUUCAUUUGUAGGAAGCAUGAUGAAACAUUGCCGAGGUUUAUGACACACAAGUAUUGGUGUUCUCUCAUAACUAAAUGAAACUAGAGAUUGCUUGGAUGACCAGAAACACUCCACCCAUCUGACUUCUAGUGUUAAAGCUUAAAUAAUGUGUAUGUUAUAAAAAGAUUGACAUGCAGUAACUGCUGUCAUUUAUGCUGGAUAAUUUGCAAUGUAGAAUAAGAAUAAUUAUUAAUUAACUGGUACACUGGUCGAUUAGGGAUAACUGUGACCACCUGUGGUGUAGUUAAACUUGUUCAUUAUGAUUAUGAAUAAACGUUUGUUGCUUAAACAAAUACUAAUCAUAUAGAAGAUGUUUUCCUACAUGCUAUGAGAUGGUUCUUGGCGGGUAUUCGGGCUUAAUUUAUGAUUGAUAGUGGCAUAGUGUUUCGUAAACUAGGGAUGUUGCUUUGUUACGUAAGGGUGGUAUCCAAAUAGUGUGGCACCAUGCUAGAGUUGAACCUGGACUAAGUUCUACAAGCACACACAAGAGAUUGGAGUGGGACAAGUACUCUUGGCACACACAUACUAUAGAAAGGGCAUCCUUGUCGCUUUUGGAUGCUACUCAAGAACUUUAUUCAUAAUAUAUAUAUAUAUAUAUAUAUAUAUAUAUAGAUAAGAGGCUAGGGGGGUUUAUAUAGUCUUUCAAUUGAGGUAGUUGUCUCUUCGGGAUCAGGACUCAUAAGUUUGUCUUUGAAAUUCUAAGUCAGUCAAGAUUAGGUUUGAUAGUUUGAAAUCCCGUUAAAACCAACUUAAAAUUGUUUCAGAAUGCUCCAAAAACUCAAAAAUAUGUUCAACAAAACGCAAAAAUAAUUUGGAAUGAUCUAGGCCACAAAAGCACCGAGAUGAAUUAUCAGAUUCUCUGAGACUGAUGAUGCAGAUUUGCGUUAUUAGAUUCUCUGAGACUGAUGAUGCAGUUCAUGUUGUUAUAUGAAUAUCUAGUUUGAGGUUUGACAAUACGAAUCGCGUCGUCGGACCCCUUGAGCUUGACGAUACGCCUCGUGUUGCUAGGCCAGGCGAGCCCUGUUUCUUUACAUGUUGUAGCUGGAAAGUCUUCUAAGCCCUUGGGUGACAGACUGAUUUGAUUUUGACCUGUCUUUUGCUUGUCUAAUUCUGUUUUUUAUAGGUUUAUAUGUCUUUUUCUGCUGGUUUGGAUUAGGUUGGAUUGGCUGUCGAUUACAAGCUAUGGUGGACUAGCCAGUAUGGUUCCUACAAUUUAGGCUUUCAGAUUUCUCGGAAUUUCCUUAGCCAAAAUUGAAAUGGGUUUUCUACCACAUGGAUGUCAUUAGGCUGUAUUGUUGAGGAUACCCCGUAUCACGGCAUAUGCGGAUGUAUAAUGCACAAUGCAGCCUGAAACGCAUUGCAUAGGGGCACAUAUGCGCUUUGGUGGGAUGCGUCGGCAUAUGCGCCAUACCCCAUUGCGUAUGCUGCACAUUGCAAAUUGCAUAUGCAGCAUGGCUCGUGGCUAAAAAUAAUGCCCAAGAGAAUGGGUAUUUUUUUAAUCUAAACAAUCAACCUUUGAGUGACAUUAUAUUUGGUGGAGUUCUAGUUUGUAUGGAAUAUAGUUUGGGUAAGAUUUUAGAUAUUUAAAACGAUAUGAAGGAUGUUUUAUUGAUGCUUGGGAUUUUCUAAUGGUUAGUCCCACUGUGAUGUUUAUUCAGUCCCCCUACUUGCCAUUUGAAUAUGGAUGCAUCUGGACCACGCCAAUUUUUACUCAUUAGUUUGAGAGCUUGUGUUUUAAUUAAGAUGAACUCCUAUCUGUUGGUAAUGGUGCACUUUAGCUGGGUUAUUUACUGAUUUGUUUAUAAGUUUUGAAUUUAAAUGCGUAUGUACAAAAUGAACUGUCCUUGGAUUUCUUGCUGAGUCAUAAGGUAGAUUGCAAGGAUGUUAAUUUCCGAUGAUUUUUUCGAUAAUUUUAUGAUCAUCUUUGAUCUCAAAUUUCAUACCCUUUUCAAAGAUAAUAAAGCCUUGAAUAAAACUUGUAGUUUCUCAUUUUAGAUUUCUUUGAAGUCCUUUACUGCACCCCAUUCCUAAUUUUCUCGAUAUUCAUCAUUUCAAAUCUAAGUCAGGUACAUGAUGUAGUGAUGCCUCCCAGGAGAUAAACAUAGGCCACUAGCCUUUAUGUUAAGUGUUUUUUAAAUCUAGUAUGUACCAAGGACAGUGACCUUCCUCAUGUAAAACAUUGUACAGCGAAAUUAAUUAUGCUUCAAGCAUUCAGUAAACAUAAAAUUCAAGGACCUUGCAAAUUCUUCUGAGAAUUUAUUUAAGAUCUUUUAUGUCAUGGGUGUUGAUAACAUCUUCAUUUGUAGGAAGCAUUAUGAAACAUUGCGGAGGUUUAUGACACACAAGUAUUGGUGUUCUCUCAUAACUAAUUUAAACUAGAGUUUGCUUGGAUGACCAGAAACACCCCACCCAUCUGACUUCUAGUGUUAAAGCUUUGUAUGUUAUCAAAAGAUUGACAUGCAGUAACUGCUGUCAUUUAUGCUGGAUAAUUUGCAAUGUAGAAUAAGAAUAAUUAUUAAUUAACUGGUUCACUGGUCGAUUAGGGAUAACUGUGACCACCUUUGGUUUUGUUAAACUUGUUCAUUAUGAUUAUGAAUAAACAUUAGUAGCUUAAACAAAUACUAAUCAUAUAGAAGAAGGUUUCCUACAUUCUAUGAGAUGGUUCUUGGAGGGUAUUCUGGUUUAAUUUAGGAUUGAUUGUGGCAUAGUGCUUCUUAAACUUGGGAUGUUGCUUUGUUACAUAAGGGUGGUAUCCAAAUAGUGUGGCACCAUGCUAGAGUUGAACCUGGACUAAGUUCUACAAGCACACACAAGAGAUUGGAGUGGGACUAGUACUCUUGGCACAUACAAACUAUAGAAAGGGCAUCCUUGUCGCUUUUGGAUGCUACUCAAGAACUUUAUUCAUAA